UACAGGGGGGGCAAGCGUUGUUCGGAAUUACUGGGCGUAAAGGGCUCGUAGGUGGCCGACUAAGUCAGACGUGAAAUCCCUCGGCUUAACCGGGGAACUGCGUCUGAUACUGGAUGGCUUGAGUUCGGGAGAGGGAUGCGGAAUUCCAGGUGUAGCGGUGAAAUGCGUAGAUAUCUGGAGGAACACCGGUGGCGAAGGCGGCAUCCUGGACCGAUACUGACGCUGAGGAGCGAAAGCCAGGGGAGCAAACAGG
rnacentral:rRNA from 1 species